UACCAGCACCCCGAGUGGUCGGGACGAUUAUUGGGCCUAAAGCAUCCGUAGCCGGUCCUGCAAGUCUUCCGUUAAAUCCAGCUGCUCAACAGAUAGGCUGCGGGAGAUACUACAGGGCUAGGAGGCGGGAGAGGCAAGCGGUACUUUAUGGGUAGGGGUAAAAUCCGCUGAUCCAUAGAAGACCACCAGUGGCGAAGGCGGCUUGCCAGAACGCGCUCGACGGUGAGGGAUGAAAGCUGGGGGAGCAAACCGG
rnacentral:rRNA from 1 species